AGUGUAAUGGUUAGCCCUCUGGACUUUGGAUCCAAUGAUCUGAGUUCAAAUCUCAG
rnacentral:tRNA from 1 species